GGGCAUAUAGCUCAGUGGUAGAGUGUGUACUUAGAAUGCACAAGGUCCUGGGUUCAAUCCCCAGUACCACCA
rnacentral:tRNA from 1 species